rnacentral:rRNA from 1 species
AUUGAACGCUGGCGGCAGGCCUAACACAUGCAAGUCGAGCGAGCGGCGGACGGGUGAUUAAUAUCUGGGAGCCUGCCUGAUGGGGGGGGCUAACUACUGGAAACGGUAGCUACUACCGCGUACCAUCAAGUGUGCCCAGGUGGGAUUAGCUAGUGGGUGGGGUAACGGCUCACCUAGGCGACGAUCCCUAGCUGGUCUGAGAGGAUGACCAGCCACACUGGAACUGAGACACGGUCCAGACUCCUACGGGAGGCAGCAGUGGGGAAUAUUGGACAAUGGGCGAAAGCCUGAUGCAGCCAUGCCGCGUGUGUGAAGAAGGUCUUCGGGUUGUAAAGCACUUUCAGUGGGGAGGCGUUACCAGCAGAAGAAGCACCGGCUAACUUCGUGCCAGCAGCCGCGGUAAUAC